GAUGAACGCUAGCUACAGGCUUAACACAUGCAAGUCGAGGGGUAACGAGAGGAAAGCUUGCUUUCCUUGUCGACGACCGGCGCACGGGUGAGUAACGCGUAUCCAACCUGCCCCCAACUAGGGAAUAACCUUGCGAAAGUAAGACUAAUACCCUAUAAUUUCCUCAGAUGUCAUCUGACGAGGAAUAAAGAUUUAUCGGUUGUGGAUGGGGAUGCGCCUGAUUAGCUUGUUGGCGGGGUAACGGCCCACCAAGGCAACGAUCAGUAGGGGUUCUGAGAGGAAGGUCCCCCACAUUGAAACUGAGACACGGUCCAAACUCCUACGUGAGGCAGCAGUGAGGAAUAGUGGUCAAUAGGCGGAAGCCUGAAUCAGCCAAGUAGCGUGCAGGAUGACGGCCCUAUGGGUUGUAAACUGCUUUUAUACAGGAAUAAAGUUAGCCACGUGUGGUUAUUUGUAGGUACUGUAUGAAUAAGGACCGGCUAAUUCCGUGCCAGCCGCCGCGGUAA
rnacentral:rRNA from 1 species